AGAUGGAAAAAGGAACUCAAUCAGGUUGUAGGAAGGAAAAAGCCGAAGAGAGAGAGAGAGAGAGAGAGAGAGAGAGAGAGUCCAAGAUUUGUACUAUUUCUGGAGAAGAACUCAAGGAAAAGCAAUGGAGGAAAGAAAGAAAAUGAAGAAAAGAAAAGGGGAAGUAAAGGAAUGCUGAAAUUAAAGUUUAAGGUAAUCAGGCACAUGACCAAGCUUAGAGGCGUUUGCCUGGAAUCAGUUCUUGACAGCCAACCUAUGUGCCUCCCGUAGAGGUUCCGGACAUGACUAGUGGUUAUGGCUAAGUGCAUAAGUUGAAGUUUUAUUUUCCUGUCCAGCUAGACAAGUCCUUGUGUAUUGUGUGAAUAAGGCUAAGUCCCUUAUGUCUAGCUUAUAUGUGUAUAUAUAUGAUGAUGUGUAUAUAAGUAUAUAAAAAGUUUAAAAUUUUUCUGUUUCACAUAAGUCUGCACGGCUCAAUGGACGAUGUAUAUUUGUUAUUUGCUUCCGUUA